UGAACCUAGAACUUAUUAUACAGAAUGAAGAGCUGAAUCCAGAAGAUGUGAAUAUCCCUUUCCAGAGGAGACACGUACUCAGUUUGAAGCAGGUGAAAGUGGAACACGUGAAAAUCUCUCUCAAGAAGAGACACAUACUCAGAAUCAAGAGCCUACGAAAUCAACUGCUAAGAUCAUGAUGGAUAAGAGCAUCUAUGGGAACGCCUCGAAUAAGCCUAAACGGAAGUCUGAAAUGUUUGACAAGGCUGUUUAGAAGACUGACACAUGUAAGAGCCCUGCUGUCAUGAGAUGCCUCCUGUUUUUGAAGCACGUUUCCCUACCUCAAGAGGGAGCAACUUUGAGCUGAAUCCUAUGUGGAUCUUCUUGGUGCCACACUGAAAGAAGUUUGGACUUUGCAACUGUUUCAUUCUGCAAAAUUUCCUGGAUUUAAAAUAUCUAUUAUUUAAAAUAUCUAAAACACCCC
ensembl:lncRNA